rnacentral:rRNA from 1 species
UACGUAGGGGGCAAGCGUUGUCCGGAUUUAUUGGGCGUAAAGAGCGUGUAGGCGGCCAUUCAGGUCAGCUGUGAAAACUCGAGGCUCAACCUCGAGACGUCGGUUGAAACCGUUUGGCUAGAGUCCGGAAGAGGAGAGUGGAAUUCCCGGUGUAGCGGUGAAAUGCGCAGAUAUCGGGAAGAACACCCGUGGCGAAGGCGGCUUCCUGGCCUGUUCUUGACGCUGAGGCGCGAAAGCUAGGGUAGCAAACGGG